AACGCACAUUGCACUCUUUUCGGAGAGUAUGCCUGUUUGAGAAUCUAAAGUAUCUAUUCACAAAGUGGUUCUUGAAAAAGGACCGCCAAGUGAGAUAUGAACCUUCCGACUCUUUACCAAGAGACGGUGGUUUUAAAGAGAUUUCCGGUUCAACUUGCCCAGGUGAUUGACCUGUUGUAUGUCGACUGAAACGUAUUCGAAUAGCUCCUCUAUGAAGCUUCUUAUCACGGAAUAAGCGACGCAGCAGUUAGUCUGGCAAGAGAGCUGGACCAUACAAACGAGACUCUCAAAAAGAGUCUGAACCAUGGUCUCAAAUCAGGUAGGAUUACCCGCUGAACUUAA
rnacentral:misc_RNA from 1 species